AUGCAGACGGCGAAGGUGAGGGCCAAGGACAUGGUGAGCUCGGCCCAGGAGAAAGCGAAGGAGGGAUCGGCCGAGGUGCAGGGCAAGGCGGGCAAAGCCGCGGCGACCACGCACGGCGAGAAGGAGAUGGCCAAGGAGGAGGAGCGCGCGCACAAGGCCCAGGCCGACGCGCAGAAGCACCAGGAGAAGGCCGAGCACCGCGCCAAAGCGGCCGCGGGAUGCCACGGCACGGCUGGGACGCACGGCCACCACGGCCCCGUCGGCACCCCUGUGGCCCCUGACCCCGCGUACCCGGCCAGCGGCUGGCACCCGGCGGCGGAGAAGUACAUCUAG
rnacentral:rRNA from 1 species